rnacentral:rRNA from 1 species
GACGAACGCUGGCGGCGUGCUUAACACAUGCAAGUCGAACGGAAAGGCCCUGCUUUUGUGGGGUGCCCGAGUGGCGAACGGGUGAGUAACACGUGAGUAACCUGCCCUUGACUUUGGGAUAACUUCAGGAAACUGGGGCUAAUACCGGAUAGGAGCUCCUGAUGCAUGGUGGGGGUUGGAAAGUUUCGGCGGUUGGGGAUGGACUCGCGGCUUACCAGCUUGUUGGUGGGGUAGUGGCUUACCAAGGCUUUGACGGGUAGCCGGCCUGAGAGGGUGACCGGCCACAUUGGGACUGAGAUACGGCCCAGACUCCUACGGGAGGCAGCAGUGGGGAAUAUUGCACAAUGGGCGGAAGCCUUAUGCAGCAACGCCGCGUGCGGGAUGACGGCCUUCGGGUUGUAAACCGCUUUCGCCUGUGACGAAGCGUGAGUGACGGUAAUGGGUAAAGAAGCACCGGCUAACUACGUG